rfam:Nicotiana attenuata strain TT scaffold02191, whole genome shotgun sequence.
UAGAUAGAUUAUUGUAUUCGACUGUAUUCACGAUAUGUACAGUAACGUAAAUAGCGCAAUUCAUGGUCUAUUCAACUGUUUUUAAAUGGAAAGUGAAUCAAUUAACACAAUAGACUCCU